rnacentral:tRNA from 3 species
AAGGCUUUAAGUUAAUAAAACUAAUAGCCUUCAAAGCUGUAAAUAUGGGAGUAUCCUUUAAGCCUUA